UACAGGGGGGGCGAGCGUUGUUCGGAAUUACUGGGCGUAAAGGGUUUGUAGGUGGCUUGCUCAGUCAGACGUGAAAUCCCUCAGCUUAACUGGGGAACUGCGUCUGAUACUAGCGAGCUUAAGUGCAGGAGAGGAACGCGGAAUUCCAGGUGUAGCGGUGAAAUGCGUAGAUAUCUGGAGGAACACCGGUGGCGAAGGCGGCGUUCUGGACUGCAACUGACACUGAAAAACGAAAGCCAGGGGAGCAAACGGG
rnacentral:rRNA from 1 species